rnacentral:rRNA from 1 species
AGAGUUUGAUCCUGGCUCAGGAUGAACGCUAGCUACAGGCUUAACACAUGCAAGUCGAGGGGCAGCAUGUUGGUUGCUUGCAACCAAUGAUGGCGACCGGCGCACGGGUGAGUAACGCGUAUCCAACCUACCCUUGUCCAUCGGAUAACCCGUCGAAAGGCGGCCUAACACGAUAUGCGGUUCUCAGCAGGCAUCUAACGAGAACGAAAUGUGAAGGAGAAGGAUGGGGAUGCGUCUGAUUAGCUUGUUGGCGGGUAACGCCACGAAGGCGACGAUCGAGUAGGGUUCUGAGAGGAAGGUCCCCCANAUUGGAACUGAGACACGGUCCAAACUCCGUACGGGAGCA